AUUGAACGCUGGCGGCAGGCCUAACACAUGCAAGUCGAACGAGUGGCGGACGGGUGAGUAAUGUCUGGGAAACUGCCUGAUGGAGGGGGAUAACUACUGGAAACGGUAGCUAAUACCGCAUACCAUCGGAUGUGCCCAGAUGGGAUUAGCUAGUAGGUGGGGUAAAGGCUCACCUAGGCGACGAUCCCUAGCUGGUCUGAGAGGAUGACGAGCCACACGUGAACUGAGACACUGUCCAUACUCCUACGGGAGGCAGCAGGGGGGAAUAUUGCACAAUGGGCGAAAGCCUGAUGCAGUCAUGCCGCGUGUAUGAAGAAGGCCUUCGGGUUGUAAAGUACGUGCAGCGGGGAGGCGUUACCAGCAGAAGAAGCACCGGCUAACUCCGGGCCAGCAGCCGCGGUAAUUC
rnacentral:rRNA from 1 species